GGCGGCGUAUUGCUCAGCCCGUUUCUGUUGUAUGCGCUGCUGGCGCUGCUGUGCACCGGGCUGUUGCGCCUGGGUUUGCAGCGCGUCGGAGUGGCGCAUUGGAUCUGGCACGAGGCGUUGUUCGACACUGCUU
rnacentral:sRNA from 3 species